rnacentral:misc_RNA from 1 species
GAUGAAGAACGUAGCGAAAUGCGAUAAGUAAUGUGAAUUGCAGAAUUCAGUGAAUCAUCGAAUCUUUGAACGCACAUUGCGCCCGCCAGUAUUAUGGCGGGCAUGCCUGUUCGAGCGUCAUUUCAACCAUCAAGCCCCCGGCUUGUGUUGGGGACCUGCGGCUGCCGCAGGCCCUGAAAACCAGUGGCGGGCUCGCUGUCACACCGAGCGUAGUAGAUUUUCAUCUCGCUCAGGGCGUGCUGCGGGUUCCGGCCGUAAAAAGCCUUAUUUACCCAAGGUUGACCUCGGAUCAGGUAGGAAGACCCGCUGAACUUAAGCAUAUCAAUAAGCGGAGGA